rnacentral:rRNA from 1 species
AUGGAAUCCCUUCCCGUCGCCGUGGUCACCGUGCCGUUCCCGGCGCAGGGCCACCUGAACCAGCUCCUGCACGUGUCGCUGCUGCUCGCGGGGCGGGGGAUCCCCGUGCACUUCGCCGCGCCGGAGCCGCACCUCCGGGAGGCCCGCGCGCGCGUGCACGGCUGGGACGCCGGCUCCCUCCUCGCCCUCCGCUUCCGCGCCCUCGACGUCCCGGCGCACGCGUCCCCGGACCCCGACCCGUCCUCGCCGUUCCCCACGCACAUGCAGCCCCUGUUCGAGGCCUUCUGCGACGGCGGCGCCGCCCGGGCCUCGCUGGCCUCGCUCCUGCGGGAGCUCUCGGCGUCCCACCGCCGCGUCGUGGUCCUGCACGACCGCAUGGCGGCCUUCGCGGCCGUCGAGGCCGCGCGGCUGCCCAACGGGGAGGCGCUCGGGGUGCACUGCCUCGCCGCGUCCUACAACGUCGGGUGGAUGGACCCCGGCCACCGCCUCCUGCGGGAGCACGGGAUGGUGUUCCACCCGGCCGACGCCUGCGCGACCAAGGAGUUCGUGGCGCUCGCCAAGCGGAUGGGCCUGGAGCGCCGCCGCGCGCCCGGCGCCGGCAUGGUCGUGAACACCUGCCGCGCGCUCGAGGGCGAGUUCCUCGACGUGCUCGCCGCCCAGAGCGCCUCCUCCUCCGACGGCCACACGCUGUUCGCCAUCGGGCCUCUGAACCCGGUGCUGCCCGGCACCGACGCGGCCGCGGCCGCGCAGGCUCCGGCGGAGCGACACGAGUGCCUGGAAUGGCUCGACAGGCAGCCGCCGUCGUCGGUGCUGUACAUUUCGUUCGGCACGACGUCGUCACUCCGGGCAGAGCAGGUGAGGGAGCUGGCCGCAGCGCUGCGCGACACCAACCAGCGGUUCGUCUGGGUGCUGCGCGACGCCGACCGCGCGGACAUGCGCGAGUCGGGCGGCGCGCGCGGGCUCGCGGACGCGGCUGCGGCCCUGCUCGGCGAAGCAGCGGCUCAGGGGACGGGCGUGAUGGUCACCGGGUGGGCACCGCAGCUGGAGAUCCUGGCGCACGGCGCGACGGCGGCCUUCAUGAGCCACUGCGGGUGGAACUCGACGGUGGAGGGGCUGAGUCACGGGAAGGCCAUCCUGGCGUGGCCGAUGCACAGCGACCAGCCAUGGGACGCGGAGCUGGUGUGCAAGUACCUCGGGGCCGGCGUCCUCGUGCGGCCAUGGGAGGAGCGGGGGGGCGUCACGCCGGCGGCCGCCAUCCGCGAGGCCAUCGAGAGGGCGAUGCGAUCGGAGGAAGGGGCGACGGUCCGGGAGCGGGCGAGGGCGCUCGGGCAGGCCGUUCGCGCCGCCGUGGCCGACGGCGGGUCCUCGCGCCGGGACCUGGACGACCUCGUGGCGUACGUGACGAGGUGA